AUUGAACGCUGGCGGCAGGCCUAACACAUGCGAGUCGAACGGCAGCACAGAAUAGCUUGCUCUUUGGGUGGCGAGUGGCGGACGGGUGAGUAAUGUCUGGGAAACUGCCCGAUGGAGGGGGAUAACUACUGGAAACGGUAGCUAAUACCGCAUAAUGUCGCGAGACCAAAGUGGGGGACCUUCGGGCCUCACACCAUCGGAUGUGCCCAGAUGGGAUUAGCUAGUAGGUGGGGUAAUGGCUCACCUAGGCGACGAUCCCUAGCUGGUCUGAGAGGAUGACCAGCCACACUGGAACUGAGACACGGUCCAGACUCCUACGGGAGGCAGCAGUGGGGAAUAUUGCACAAUGGGCGCAAGCCUGAUGCAGCCAUGCCGCGUGUAUGAAGAAGGCCUUCGGGUUGUAAAGUACUUUCAGCGGGGAGGAAGGCGGUGAGGUUAAUAACCUUGCCGAUUGACGUUACCCGCAGAAGAAGCACCGGCUAACUUCGUGCCAGCAGCCGCUGUAA
rnacentral:rRNA from 1 species